rnacentral:lncRNA from 1 species
GUGAAGAACUUCUGCACCACAGCCACCACUGCAGUCUAGAUAAUAAACCAAUAUCAUCUGAAGAAGAGCACAGAAAAAUUGUAAGGUCUCGAGGUUUUGUCCUCGACCAUGGACCACACCACCCCCCGCACCUUGUCAACAAUCACAGCUCCAAUGAGGUUUCUAUUCUCUUGCUCCAUGACCAUCUCACUUUGCAAGGCUGACUGAAAGGUGCCACCUCCACCCAACACCAUCAUCCAUCU